CGGGACACGUGGUAUCCUGUCUGAAUAUGGGGGGCCCAUCCUCCAAGGCUAAAUACUCCUGACUGACCGAUAGUGAACCAGUACCGUGAGGGAAAGGCGAAAAGAACCCCGGCGAGGGGAGUGAAAAAGAACCUGAAACCGUGUACGUACAAGCAGUGGGAGCACGCUUAGGCGUGUGACUGCGUACCUUUUGUAUAAUGGGUCAGCGACUUAUAUUCUGUAGCAAGGUUAACCGAAUAGGGGAGCCGAAGGGAAACCGAGUCUUAACUGGGCGUUAAGUUGCAGGGUAUAGACCCGAAACCCGGUGAUCUAGCCAUGGGCAGGUUGAAGGUUGGGUAACACUAACUGGAGGACCGAACCGACUAAUGUUGAAAAAUUAGCGGAUGACUUGUGGCUGGGGGUGAAAGGCCAAUCAAACCGGGAGAUAGCUGGUUCUCCCCGAAAGCUAUUUAGGUAGCGCCUCGUGAAUUCAUCUCCGGGGGUAGAGCACUGUUUCGGCAAGGGGGUCAUCCCGACUUACCAACCCGAUGCAAACUGCGAAUACCGGAGAAUGUUAUCACGGGAGACACACGGCGGGUGCUAACGUCCGUCGUGAAGAGGGAAACAACCCAGACCGCCAGCUAAGGUCCCAAAGUCAUGGUUAAGUGGGAAACGAUGUGGGAAGGCCCAGACAGCCAGGAUGUUGGCUUAGAAGCAGCCAUCAUUUAAAGAAAGCGUAAUAGCUCACUGGUCGAGUCGGCCUGCGCGGAAGAUGUAACGGGGCUAAACCAUGCACCGAAGCUGCGGCAGCGACGCUUAUGCGUUGUUGGGUAGGGGAGCGUUCUGUAAGCCUGCGAAGGUGUGCUGUGAGGCAUGCUGGAGGUAUCAGAAGUGCGAAUGCUGACAUAAGUAACGAUAAAGCGGGUGAAAAGCCCGCUCGCCGGAAGACCAAGGGUUCCUGUCCAACGUUAAUCGGGGCAGGGUGAGUCGACCCCUAAGGCGAGGCCGAAAGGCGUAGUCGAUGGGAAACAGGUUAAUAUUCCUGUACUUGGUGUUACUGCGAAGGGGGGACGGAGAAGGCUAUGUUGGCCGGGCGACGGUUGUCCCGGUUUAAGCGUGUAGGCUGGUUUUCCAGGCAAAUCCGGAAAAUCAAGGCUGAGGCGUGAUGACGAGGCACUACGGUGCUGAAGCAACAAAUGCCCUGCUUCCAGGAAAAGCCUCUAAGCAUCAGGUAACAUCAAAUCGUACCCCAAACCGACACAGGUGGUCAGGUAGAGAAUACCAAGGCGCUUGAGAGAACUCGGGUGAAGGAACUAGGCAAAAUGGUGCCGUAACUUCGGGAGAAGGCACGCUGAUAUGUAGGUGAAGUCCCUUGCGGAUGGAGCUGAAAUCAGUCGAAGAUACCAGCUGGCUGCAACUGUUUAUUAAAAACACAGCACUGUGCAAACACGAAAGUGGACGUAUACGGUGUGACGCCUGCCCGGUGCCGGAAGGUUAAUUGAUGGGGUCAGCGCAAGCGAAGCUCUUGAUCGAAGCCCCGGUAAACGGCGGCCGUAACUAUAACGGUCCUAAGGUAGCGAAAUUCCUUGUCGGGUAAGUUCCGACCUGCACGAAUGGCGUAAUGAUGGCCAGGCUGUCUCCACCCGAGACUCAGUGAAAUUGAACUCGCUGUGAAGAUGCAGUGUACCCGCGGCAAGACGGAAAGACCCCGUGAACCUUUACUAUAGCUUGACACUGAACAUUGAGCCUUGAUGUGUAGGAUAGGUGGGAGGCUUUGAAGUG
rnacentral:rRNA from 1 species